rnacentral:rRNA from 1 species
GACGAACGCUGGCGGCGUGCCUAAUACAUGCAAGUGGGACGCAAGGGAACACACUGUGCUUGCACACCGUGUUUUCUUGAGUCGCGAACGGGUGAGUAACGCGUAGGUAACCUGCCUAUUAGCGGGGGAUAACUAUUGGAAACGAUAGCUAAUACCGCAUAAUAUUAAUUAUUGCAUGAUAAUUGAUUGAAAGAUGCAAGCGCAUCACUAGUAGAUGGACCUGCGUUGUAUUAGCUAGUUGGUAAGGUAAGAGCUUACCAAGGCGACGAUACAUAGCCGACCUGAGAGGGUGAUCGGCCACACUGGGACUGAGACACGGCCCAGACUCCUACGGGAGGCGGCAGUAGGGAAUCUUCGGCAAUGGACGAAAGUCUGACCGAGCAACGCCGCGUGAGUGAAGAA